GUAUUGUUGUCUAACUUGUCAGCACAAAAAUUGAACCUAAAGUCUCUCAAAUCUCACAAUAUCAGAAAUUUGACUUAAAGUGUUACUCAAAUCUAAAAAAAUUGGGGAUUUGAACUGGAUCUAACGCUUUAAAUUGAGGCGAGAGACGAGGCCAAUCUUUUCUAGAAAAACCUUUGAAUGGCAUUUUUUUCUGGAGGCCAAUUUUUGGAUGAAGAAGGCAAUGCCAAAAUUCCAACAUGCCAUUGCCUCCACCGGCAACCAUGUGUACCACCAUACCUUCCUGUCUUAAACCGCCACCACCAUCCCAUCCCCUUUCCUUUGCCAGCCGAUCACCAACCCAACCCCACCGAUCUCCGAACUACCCCACUAAGAACAGCUCCCAUCUCCCUCCUACCCACCACCCACAGCCCUACUGAGAUAGCCAUCGAAACUACUAAAAAAUAAAUAGCAACUAUCACAGCCAAUAACAGAAAAUCAAAAAACCAAGCCAGCAAAGCCAAAAAAAAAAUGCAAACAACCACAGUCCUCUAUUGAGGAAUCCAUCAGGAAAAAAAAAGAAAGAGAAAAGGGCCCGUUGAGGACGAAACGGGCUUUCGGUCAUGGGAUUUUUUUUUGUUUUUAUGAGUGAUUUGUGAGAGUAUUUUUAAGAUUUUGGAAAAGCAGAGAAAAGAGCUAUUUUUUGGGCGGUGGGAGCGACGGCGGCGUAUGGAUGUCAGCAGUGGCGAGGAGACUUUUGGAUAAUCCGAACAGGUAGAAAGAAAGGAUGGAAGGGGAGAAACAACAUACUUUGGUUUCAGGACGACCGGAUGGCAAGAAGAGGGUGAACGGCAGUUUAAAAUUUUGGGAUAAAGUUUCAGAUCUAAGCUAUUAUGAGGUGAUUUGAGAAAAACAGAGGUUGAAUCUGAGACGAGAAGGAAGAGAGGAGUCCACGGCUGAAAUUUUGGAGCCAACUAACGUCAAACGGCGACGGUGAAAGGCGGUCGGGUCGGCUACUAUCGUCGGGAUCUGGGGUAGGGGAGAGUGGCCUAGUGUGUCUUUUUGGAAAGAAAAUGUUGCUUUUUGAAAGAGAAGAAGAAUGAAAUGAUAUAAAAAAAAGUUUUGCAUUUUACAGUAUAGCAAAAAAUGAAAAACACAGGUUUGAUGCUCUUGACCCGACCCUCUUACAAUGUUUGUAUUUAGCAAAGUGAUCAAUGAACAUGGAAAUCGUUAUAGCACAUUUCUCUGAUGAUGUUGUAGAUAAUAAGGUAUGUGCCUAUAACAUUUUUAUUAUUUUAAUCGAUGGCAUUUGUAUAAUAGAUCUUUAUUAUGGUCUGCAGCCAAUUCAAGCUAUUUACAUAGAUGAGAUUAGUUCAUAUCUUUAGUUUGUGAUACUUAAUUAUUUUGUUAACUCUGUCACUGUAAAUUUUAUUCUACAGUUUAUACUCAGACUGCUUUAUAUUGCAAUUAAAGUUAGAUUUUCUGCUUUUAUUGAUGAGUUACAGUUAUGAACUAACUCCUAUUCCAAAAAGAAGAGAGAAAGAAAGAAAAGAUGAAGAUGAAAACAAAAACAUUUUUUUGGUGGACUGUUAUGAUUAUGUCAAUUAUCAUUCAUCCAAACCUAUUUUUCCAUGUGUCCAUUUUAACUUUUUGACCAUAUAAUUAUAGAUUCGUAUGGAAACUCCAUCUGGGAUUAAGGACUCCAUUCCUGCUUGGAUCAGGUUCUCUGUUCAAGCACCAGGUGAAAUCCCAUACAAUGAAAUAUAGUAUGAUCUGCCAGAAGAGGUAUAGUUAGUGGCUGUUUGAUCUUUGGGUUUUGUUGAAAGAUUAGAUAACUUAUUCUUUUUAAACUAUAAGCAGAUAAAAUAUUUGGCGCUUGGAGAAAAUCAGAAAUACCAACUAAUGUUUAUAUGAUAAUUUUAAAAUGACUGCAUGUGUGUGAAGAUUUAUAGAUAAAAGCAUGCAUGUAUGCUUGCACACAAAUAUGAUUAAUUGGUUAUAUAAACAAAUAAUGAAUUUCUUAUUCAUCUUAGUAUAGGUUGUUCUGAUGAAUGUCUUCCUUUAUAAUGUUAAUAUUAAGAUCAAUGCCCUUAAAGAUUUUUAAGAGAACAAUUUUGAUUGGUUCAUUUUCAUAUAUGAAGUCAGUUUCUAAAUUGUGUUCUCGCUUGUUCAAGUUUAAUCAUUGCAUAGCACAGUCAACUUAGUUUAGUCUGUAAUAUGUGUCUUAUCGUAAAUUUUUGUACUCUCUAACCUGACUAAUGAUUUUUAUAUUGUAACAGGAAAAGUAUGUAUUCAAACAUCCCCAGCCAAAAAGACUAAAAUCACUUAAGUCUAUGAAUCACAUGUUGGAAUGAGUAGCAUGGAGCCAAUAAUUAACACAUAUGCCAACUUUAGAGAUAAUGUGCUUCCCCGCAUUAAAAGACUUGGAUAUAAUGCUGUUCAAAUCAUGGCUAUUCAAGAGCACUUGUAUUAUGCUAGAUUUGGGUAUCAUGUGACAAACUUCUUUGCACCAAGUAGCCAUUUUGGAACCCCUGAUGAUCUUAAGUCACUGAUAGAUAGGCUCACAAGUUGGGUCUACUUGUCCUUAUGGAUAUUGUGCAUAGAUGGAUUGAACAUGUUUGAUGGAACCGAUGCUCAUUACUUCCACUCGAGGUCAAAGGGUCACCAUUGGAUGUGGGAUUCUCGCCUUUUGAAUUAUGGAAGCUAGGAAGUACUAAGGUUUCUUCUUUCAAAUGCAAGAUGGUGGCUGAACGAAUACAAGUUUGAUGGGUUCAGAUUUGAUGGUGUGACUUCAAUGAUGUACACCUAUCAUGGGUUGCAGGUAGCAUUUAUUGGAAACUAAAAUGAGUACUUUGGAUAUGCAACUAAUAUAGAUGUUGUUGCCUAUCUGAUGCUGGUUAAUCAUAUGAUUCAUGGGCUAUAUCCUGAGGCUGUCACCAUUGGUUAAGAUAUUCGUAUGAAAACUCCAUCUGGGAUUAAGGACUCCAUUCCUGGUUGGAUCAAGUCCUCUGUUCAAGCACCAACUGAAAUCCUAUACAACAAAAUAUACUAUGAUCCACCAGAAAAGGAAAAGUAUGUAUUCAAACACCCCCAGCCAAAAGGACCAAAAUCACUUACGUCUAUGAAUCACAUGUUGGAAUGAGUAGCAUGGUAUCAUGUGACAAACUUCGUUGCACCAAGCAGCCAUUUUGGAACCCCUGAUGAUCUUAUGUCACUGAUAGAUAGGGCUCACAAGUUGGGUCUACUUGUUCUUAUGGAUAUUGUGCACAGGUAAUAAUUGGACUUGGAGGAGAAUAUCAUUUCUAGAAACACACCCUUCAGAUUUAUUUGCUGUUACAGUUUUUGUGCAAACGAUUUUUCCUAGCUUUUUCUUACCAAAAAUAAAAAUAUAAACUGUUUUUCCUUUUUUUUUUCCUACUUAGACUGUAUGGUCAUUCUUCCGGUAGAUUUGAUGCAAAUAUGGCCAUGAGAAUUUAGGCUGUUAUUGGUUUUUACUCUUCCUAUGUUUUCUCUAGUUGCUUUUGGCUUCCUAAAUGGUUUCUAAAGAACAAACCUAAAAGGGAGAAAGCAAAGUAAUAAUUGUUUGAAAAUAUAUAUGAUUAAAUGCAAUAUAAUUUGUAGUAUAAUUGUUCUGUUAAAAGAGAAAUCAUAGAACUCUGUUAAAAGAGAAAUCAUAGUAUUUUGUUCUACAAGAGAUUAUAUUUUUUAUUUUUAAUUCUUUUAAAGUAUUAUUAUCUUUUCUAACCAUAAGUACUUUCUGCUUCUGGAAGCAAAAAGCUAGUAGCAAAAACAACUACCAAAUGGAAUCUUACUGUAUUGUUUACAAUGAAAGUUUUUAUCUUUUGCAUGUUGUUAAAUGUUAAAUUCUUUUCUAAGCUGUAGCAAAUUUUUAUUCAAGUAUUUGCUCUGUUGCUUUGAGUGAGUAUGUUGCUUUGAGUGAAUAUGUUGCAAAUUUUUAUUCAAGUAUUUUUAUUCAAGUAAGAUACAAAUUUUUAGUAUGUACUUCUACUAAAACUUCUCUUAAACAAUAGCUUGUUGAAAGAUUUUGGCUUCCUUCCAUCCUAUUGUGUGUAAAUAUUAAUUUUUACUUGUUGCUUGAGGUACUAAGGUUUCUUCUUUCAAAUGCAAGAUGAUGGCUGGACGAAUACAAGUUUGAUGGGUUCAGAUUUGAUGGUGUGACUUCAAUAAUGUACACCCAUCAUGGGUUGUAGGUAAUAUUUGAGUGAGUUUGUAGAUUUUCUAUUUUGCUUGGUGUUAUAUAAUAAGUUACUUGCAUGUUCAGAUGUUAAUUAUCAAAGUUUUGACGUUAUGUUAUAUAAAGAAGUAAAACUGACGUAAUAUUUAGUUCUUGUAAGUGGUGAAGCAUCAUUUCUCUAUGUUUGUUUCUUAACUAAAUUCUCUUAAGGACUAAAGGUUGUUAGUGACAUUCAUCAUAUUACUUUGUUAUAAGAUUAUCUCAAAUUACUUUCUAAUUGCACAUUGAAAUUUGAAUAGAUUGCAAUAAAUCGCAUUUUCAAAGCUAAAAACAUAAAGCAAUAGAAUUCUCAGAUAAUAACAUUGUUUCAGUUGCCAUUGAUAUAAUAAGAGUUUUAUAGGCACUCAUAACAAUUCUAACCCACUAUCAAGAUUAUAAGUUAUGUUUUCAGAAAUUUUGACAUUAAAAAAAAUUACACAAAACACAAGGAUAAGAAAGAAUGAGAUAAGUCAAACUAUUUUUUAGUUGUAAUCUCUAUCAUAUCCCCCACUAGCAAUUUUAUUGCUUUCAUUUAAUGUCCACCUCAAAAAACAAAUUUCUCUUUUCAAAGUCCAAUUGUUCUACAACAAUCACUCGGAAGUGUGAGAAGUGUGAGAAGUGUGAGAAGUGUGAAAUUUCAGCAAAUAGUAUUGGAAGGAACGAAGAUAAGCACACUGUUGGAGUUGCCACUAGAAGCAAGAAAAAAGUUUUAUUAAGUUAUAGAUUAUGUACAAACUUAGAAACAAGGAGACAAAUCUUAAAUGUGAGUAAUUUUUUACCAAACAUAUAUAUAUUUUAUGUUUUAGUUCUUUUAAGAAUUACAUAUUAUAACUUGAUAAAUGUUAUUCGAUAGCCUUGAUUGAAAAGUGAGAAAGUGAUAGCAGUUUGGACAAGCAAAGGCAAAAAGUAGGUUGUUGAGGAUGUAAUUAGUACUUAAGAAAGUUAAGUCCUUGCUUCUAAAAGAAAUAAAGGGAAACAAAAAACAAGAGAAGUUGAAAAUUUAUUCUGUUGACAACUGUUGCCAGCUAUUGAUGUUAACUAUGUUUUUUUCUUGUUAGUGUCUUAAAAACGCUUUCUAUUCAAUCUUUUGUUGGUUGAAUGUUUUCUAUACUGAAUGUUGGGUAAGAAACUUUUUGUCGACAUUCAUCAGAUUACUUUGUUAUAAGAUUGCCUUUAGUAUCAGAUUGUCGUAGAUUACUUUCUAGUAGCACAUUGCAAGUUGAAUAUAUUGCACUAAAUCACAUUUUCAUAGCUAAUAACAUAAAGAAAUAGAAUUCAUAGCUAAUAACAUUGAUUUGAUAGCCUUUGAUACGAUAAGAGCUUUACAAGCCCCUAUCACAAUCUUGACUCACUAUCAAGCAUAUAAGUUAAGUUUUCAAAAAUUUUUUGGUGUUGAAAAAGAUUACAAAAAAUCCAAGGAUAAAAAAGAAUGAGAUAAGCCAAAUUAUUUUUCAGUUGCCAUCUCUAUCAUGUCCACCACCAGUAAUUUCAUUGUUUUCUUUCAAUUUUAACCUCAAAAAACUUACUUCUCUCUUCAAAGUCUAACUUUUCGACAACAACCAUCGGGAAGAGAGCAAUUUUAGCAAACAUCAUUGGAAGUCACAAUGAUAAGCACAUUCUUAGAGUUACCACCAAAAAAAACCAAGACAAAAGUUUAAUGAGGUUAUGGAUUAUAUAUAAACAUAGAAAUUGGGAGACAAAUCUUAAAUAUUAGUAAUUCUUUACCAAACAUAUAUAUAUAUUUUUUGUUUUAGUUCUUUUAAGUAUUACCUA